rnacentral:rRNA from 1 species
GUGGAUUAGAUACCCGGGUAGUCCACGCCCUAAACGAUGCUGACUAGUUGUUGGGAAUUUACAUUCUCAGUAACGUAGCUAACGCGUGAAGUCAGCCGCCUGGGGAGUACGGUCGCAAGAUUAAAACUCAAAGGAAUUGACGGGGACCCGCACAAGCGGUGGAUGAUGUGGAUUAAUUCGAUGCAACGCGAAAAACCUUACCUACCCUUGACAUGUCACUAACGAAGUAGAGAUACAUUAGGUGCCCGUAAGGGAAAGUGAACACAGGUGCUGCACGGUCGUCGUCAACU